UUGACGUUACCUACAGAAGAAGCACCGGCUAACUCCGUGCCAGCAGCCGCGGUAAUACGGAGGGUGCGAGCGUUAAUCGGAAUUACUGGGCGUAAAGCGCAUGCAGGCGGCCUGUUAAGUCAGAUGUGAAAGCCCGGGGCUUAACCUCGGAAUUGCAUUUGAAACUGGCAGGCUAGAGUCUUGUAGAGGGGGGUAGAAUUUCAGGUGUAGCGGUGAAAUGCGUAGAGAUCUGAAGGAAUACCAGUGGCGAAGGCGGCCCCCUGGACAAAGACUGACGCUCAGAUGCGAAAGCGUGGGGAGCAAACAGGAUUAGAUACCCUGGUAGUCCACGCCGUAAACGAUGUCUACUUGGAGGUUGUGGCCUUGAGCCGUGGCUUUCGGAGCUAACGCGUUAAGUAGACCGCCUGGGGAGUACGGUCGCAAGAUUAAAACUCAAAUGAAUUGACGGGGGCCCGCACAAGCGGUGGAGCAUGUGGUUUAAUUCGAUGCAACGCGAAGAACCUUACCUACUCUUGACAUCCAGAGAAACUUGAAGAGAUUCGAGUGUGCCUUCGGGAACUCUGAGACAGGUGCUGCAUGGCUGUCGUCAGCUCGUGUUGUGAAAUGUUGGGUUAAGUCCCGCAACGAGCGCAACCCUUAUCCUUGUUUGCCAGCACUUCGGGUGGGAACUCCAGGGAGACUGCCGGUGAUAAACCGGAGGAAGGUGGGGACGACGUCAAGUCAUCAUGGCCCUUACGAGUAGGGCUACACACGUGCUACAAUGGCAUAUACAGAGGGCAGCAAGACCGCGAGGUGGAGCGAAUCCCAGAAAGUAUGUCGUAGUCCGGAUCGGAGUCUGCAACUCGACUCCGUGAAGUCGGAAUCGCUAGUAAUCGUGGAUCAGAAUGCCACGGUGAAUACGUUCCCGGGCCUUGUACACACCGCCCGUCACACCAUGGGAGUGGGCUGCACCAGAAGUAGAUAGCUUAACCUUCGGGAGGGCGUUUACCACGGUGUGGUUCAUGACUGGGGUGAAGUCGUAACAAGGUAGCCCUAGGGGAACCUGGGGCUGGAUCACCUCCUUA
rnacentral:rRNA from 1 species